GGCGGAGUUCCCGAGCGGUCAAAGGGGCCAGACUGUAAAUCUGGUGGCUAUGCCUUCACAGGUUCGAAUCCUGUUUCCGCCA
rfam:Planctopirus limnophila DSM 3776 chromosome, complete genome.